AAGGUCGUAACAAGGUUUCCGUAGGUGAACCUGCGGAAGGAUCAUUAAAGAGUAAGGGUCUCCGGCCCGAACCUCCAACCCUCUGUUGUUAAAGCUACUUCGUUGCUUUGGCGGGACCGCGAAGGUCCUCCCGGAGCGCGCCGGUCUCCGGACAGGCGAGCGCCCGCCAGAGUCUAACCAAAGCUCUUGGUUUUGAAAUCCAGCGUCUGAGUAAAAAUUUUUCAUAAACUUAAAAG
rnacentral:misc_RNA from 1 species